GUCUGUGUGAUGUAGGCAGAUUCACAAUGUUGUGGGGGAUGGAAUUCCAGGAUUGUGACCCAUUGACACGGAAAGAAGACGAUAGAUACGUUUCCAAGUCAGGAUGCCUCACCGUUGUGGAGGAGGUGGCCUUGGAAGUGGUGAAGUAUCAGGGUAGCCUACAACUACUGAUGGUGGGACAGAACGUCCAUCUCAGGAAGGUCAGCCUCAAGUAAAAGUGUGCAGAGCUCAAGAGGCUGGGGGGAGGAGGAGGCGGAGCAGGAAGGAUCUUCCAAGGAUUCAGUGUCACAUCGGUCUCUGUCACACACUGCCAGCCCAAAUAUUCUCCCAUAUAUACAAAUUUGUGUAUAUAAUGUCAAAUUGAAGUGAAACAGCCUUUCAACCUAGUCAACACACGUUGUUGCAAUUUACUUUUAAAACAGAUGAUCUUUUACAUUGUCAAGGGUAAGACUUGAAAAGUAAGUGUUGCUAAAUCAUGAUGGCAUCUGGAAAAAAUAUCAAAUCAAACUGAACUGGAAUUCUAAGAACUUAGCCCAGCAAUCCUUCAUUUUAUCAGCAAUCUGAAGGUGUAGAUAUGUUUUCAGACCAACACUGGAAGACAAAUGAUGAAUGAUGACUAUAUUGAUGAAAAAUCUUGGGCACUGGGAAUUUAGAAGCUCCAAGAAAACUGAGAUGGCCUCAUAACAAGUGACCCACUUUCACGUCUCAUUUUUAAGACUGUCAUUCCCUCCAGUGUCAAGUAAAUCUUUUAAGACUGAAGGCAGUUGCUGUCUAACAGGAAUCUGAAAAACGAAAGAUGGAUGAAUAUAUCUAUUAAGAUUUACAUAAGUAGCACAGAGCAUUAGUGCAAGGAAUUACAAGAAUGUUGGAAUUCAUA